AUCCAGCUGACGAUUCCCAAAUAGGACGAAACGUGCGUCCUGGAU
rfam:Schistosoma mansoni, Puerto Rico, WGS project CABG01000000 data, contig: 0010